CCCUUAAGGACCCCCUCCGUGAGGUGUCCGAGUCAGGAGAGCCGUUAAAAGGAAAUCGCCACAGUGAUAAACGGCGGCUGGCGGUCAAAUCCGAGGCCGCGAGGCUCGCUAAAACCGUCACUACCACCGUUCCAAGGGACAUUUUAAGCAACGGCGCUCCGACAGGACAGCUUUAAAUUGUUUUUUUUAAAUUUUGAUCAGGCUUCUCUGCGGGCUGCUGAGCGCUGAGGCCCCUCCAGAGGGGAAGGCGCGCGGGGGCUGCCGGGAGUUGUAGUUCCGGACAGGAGACCGGCGCGGGCCCGGCCGCCAUUUUGAGGGCGCCCUGAGGGGCCCGUCAUGGGCAGCGGGGUCGGGCUCCACCCCCGCGUGUGUGAGGGGCCAUUAAGAUGUUCGGUGCAUAUUUAUAUCCACUGUGCGAAGGGGAGCCGAGCACAGCCAGAGGCCAGCGGUGCUGGGAGAUGCUCAGGGAAUACAGGGGAGCCUGAGGGCGAUGUGGGACAGAAGGGAGGAGCCUUCCCUGGCACUGGCACGUUUGGGUGAACUGGUAGAAAAACACAACAGUUAUUAUCAAAAACAACAGGCAUUUUGUAGGUAACCAAGCCUAAUUCUGGCCAUCUGCAGUGUGGCAUGAGGUGGGCUUUACACUGAGCCAGGAACACCAUCCUUGCGGCUCACCCAGAGCUGGGGGUUUGGUUCCCAAGGACAGGAGACGCGGUGGGAGCAGCGAGGCACGACACAGCAGCGACACAGCAGCGACACAGCAGCGACACAGCAGCGACACAGCAGCGACACAGCAGCGACACAGCAGCGACACAGCAGCGACACAGAGCUCUCCCCGCCCGCGGGGAGCCCGGGAAGGCGCAGGUGGAUUAGUCACGGGGAUGCCACGCUGGAAACGUGCACAUGUCAGGACUCUGAACGAGGAAGGACAGCUCUGCCUGCUGGGCGGGGGUGACUCACGGCAUCCCGGGCAGGAUCAGGGCCCUCCCAGGUCACAGAGAGCCCUGUUUUCCCCAGAGCAGCUCCAGCCCCAUCACCCAGCCCUUAGAGCCUUCCCGGGUGCCUGCAGGGCUCAGCGAGGGGCCGCUGAGCUGCGGGAUGUCGUGACUGGACUCAGCCAGCACUGGAAACCUCUGGAGAGUCUUUGUUCUUUUCCUGAUUUUUCACCCUGUAACUCCGUGCUUUUGUUAACACCCGGCAUCCCUUGCCCUUCCAAGAGCUCCACGUGCCACAGACAGCAGACAGGCCUGCAUUGCAAUGCAUGGAGGAGAAGGGAUGAGGGAGAAGGUCCAGCUUUGUGCCCCAUCCCCGCACAGGCUGGGGUUUUAAUCCCCCUCCCAGCAAACCACAGACCAUCCUGUGACAGAGACAGCCUGCCCUGCAGUGCCUGAGGAGGGGGCUGUCGCAGGAGGAUCCUUGCUGCAUCCCUGAUAUGUCUGUUUGUAAAAUGGGGGGAUAACAGCACAGCUGUGAGCCAGGGUGCAAAGCAGUGCCCUCUGCCCCACACCUUGCAGCUUAGCCAGAACUACAGAAUCAUUGGGGUUGGAAAAGAGCUCUGGAGAGCAUCCAAUCCAACGCCCUUGCCAAGGCAGGGUCACCUGGAGCAGAUGACACAGGGACAUAUCCAGUUUAUGGCGGUUGCUCCUUGUACUGUCACUGGACACCACUGAAAAGUCCAGCACCAACCUCUUGACACCAGCCUUGGAGAUAUGUACAUGCACUAAUGAGAAACCUGGCUCUGAGCUGCUGGGAAGGGCUGGGACUCCACGGGGAAUUCCUCUGCGAGUCACCGGUAAGUUUCAAAGAAACCCAUGGGAUUUAACACGAGCAUCUCACAGAGGAAAACAGGCUCACUGAGCCGCAGUAGGGGUUAUUCCAAGAUGAAGGCAGCCAGGAGGGUGGCUCUGGCAGUGCCUGCUCCAUGUCCCCAGAGCGAGUGCCCGCUGGCAGCUCUCCCAGUGGGUCAGUGGGGAGCCCAGCUGUCCCAGCACCGCUCCCUCCACUACCUGGUUAGGUCCUGUUGCCCCGGGAGCGGGCCCAGACAGUUAUGGGAGUGAGGUAAGUCCUGAAAAAUGCUGAGAACCCACUUCAUGUCACUAGCAAGGCAUGAGACAGCACCUUUGCCGUGAGGGUUUUUCCAGCUUUUUGUGGUGCCAGAGCUAAGACAUGGCACGGCAUGGAUCCGAGGCUGUGGGGGGGGUCUCUGGGGGAGGGUUAUGAGCAGAGGUACGCUGGGGAGGGCCCAGCUGUUCCCCCAGGGACCCAGAGCAGGGCCAUGAAAAUCCUCUGUGCCCAGGGACACGCCUCCAUGCGGGCCACAGGGAGCUGCCUCAGCGGUGGGAAAUUCCCCGAGCUGUGGGAGCAGCGGUGCAUGUCCCACCUGCAGCUGCUGUAACCACACCAGGGAGUGCCACAGCUCUCCCUGUGGGGCCGGAGGGGACAAGGUGAUGUGAGCUCCAGCUGCAGGUGCCUCCCUCUGCCUCCUGCCUGGACAUGACCCCAGGGACCUGUGUAGAACUUGUCUCGGUUGUGGAUGCUGCCAGAGUUAUGGCACCUUCCCUUGUCAGAGAGAGCAGUGUUGGCAUAGGGAGGUGCCAGGUGAGCGGCACACCUGUCCUGCCUCCAGCUGGAGGACUCACCCGUGGACACCUCACCCAGCAGGCACAGAACAUUUCCCCAUCCCACAAACUCUGCAUGUUGGGGAUGGCCAGGAGCAGAGCAGUAGAGAAAUCUGUCCAUGAAGCAUUUGAAAUUCAAACAACUGCUUAGCUGUCUGCUGGGAGGGAUGGUAAGCAUUUAUUAACCCAUUGCCGAGACCUUCCAGCCAGAGCACUUCUGUCAGCACUGCCAUGGUGUGCGGCUGGGACCGUGUCCAUUGUCAGCCUCUGCUGUGCUCUCGGGACUGUAACUCCUCCAGCCUCAUCUCCAGGAGCUUUUCCCCAAGAGCAGAGGAGAAGGCUGUGAAGCCACACUUGCUCAGCCCAUGUGGCUGCUCUCCCCGGCACAGCUCCCGCAUGCCACGAUCCCGUUACCAGCAGGAGAUUGAUCACACACAGCUCAGAGCAAAGGCAGCUGAAGAGCUGUCACAGAGCACAGACCAUUUCAGGGGAACCACGGCAGUGACUGGUCAGGAUCCUGGAGGAAAAACCCCCUCAAGUCAGUCCCCACCAGGCAUGAACCAAAAGAGCCUGGGUCAGCCAGAAGGGGUUUCAGUGCAUCACCUGUGACACACCCACAUACCAGUGCUUGCUGAGCUUGUUUCUCAGCCGCUGAUAAGAUGAGCAGUAUAAUGGUAAAAACAAUUGCAGAUCACACAAUCUCCCAACUAGAGCCCAUAAUUAACCCAAAACCCAAUGGACUGUGGGGUUACCCGGGAGCAAGUAUUUGCACGGGAUUCUCAAAGUUGCUGCAUAUUUGCAGCAAGGUUUUUUGGCUUGCUCUUGGCCAAAUUCCUCACGGAAAACCCCAGGGUGAGGCGAGCUGGUGGAAUUCCCACAAACAGUUGGCCCUUCUAGGGCUGAAUUUGAGCCACCACUCACCCUGCAUCCACUGGGUGGGGAACACCCCUCUGCUGACGGGGAAUAAAAGCCGGGUUGUGGUGCUUGGCACCCUGGGUAGGGAGAGCUGGAGGUGGCCACCCAAGGGGCACCUUCUGAGUGGGAGGAGAGAGAAGGUGCUGCUGUUUUACCUGUGCAGUGAUGGGGCAGUGCUUGUCCACUGCACUCAAACAGGCCCUGUGUGUCCUGCUGGCUGUGGAGUAUCUCCUAGAGAUUUGGGAACUGAGGCCGUGAAGCAGUGUUUGACUUCUGGAGGGACACCUGAUCCUGGGGUACACACUGGGCUUCUCCUUCUAGCUCUUUCCAGCACUUGUUUGCUGCAGGGGCUAAGACUUCUCUCCCAUUCAUCCCUAUCUGCUCUUUACAAAGGCUUCUUGUUUUACCAAGUGUUGGGUUUUUGUUUAGGUUUUUUUUUUCCACGUGUGAUUUAAUUCACACAAACUCCUUCCUAUUCUGACUAUUGAUCUUGGCUCCUUACUGGUUAAAACAAAGUAAAUCUUUCAUAAGCAGGUUCUGACAACGCAACUUUUGUUCCUUCCAGACACAAUUUCCUGUUUAAUUUCCUGACUGUUUCUUACUUGGUAAAGGAAAAGUUGUAAAUUGCAAGAUUGCUUCAGAGACCUUCCUCUGACUUUAGGUGAACCGUUAACCACUUGCAGGAGAGAAUCCAGCAAACCAGCGUAAAACUUUAAAAAAUCCUCGAUUUCUUUUAUUUCUUCUGUGAUUCUCACUGAAAGGAAACAAGCUGGGGAGGGGGGGGGGGGGUGGGCGGCAGAGGCGGGGAAAGAAGUUGGAAUAAUUUUCCUUGGAAAAUCAAACAGGAGCAACUCUGCCUCCAGCUGAGUUGAUAAUUGUUCUUUCAUCACUCAGCAAACUGUCUCUUACAAAUGGGCUGUGCCUCUGCGGUCCCAAAUGUGGGUCCCGGACAUUGUCCUGCAUGGACGCUGAUUCUCGCUCCCACUCCUUUAAAAUCCCGAGGGACGCCAUGCCGGGCUGUGACCGCGGUCACAGUGACCAGCUGAUCCAGCUGCAGAUUCCCGGAUCACCGAAGCGCUGGCUGUGCACAGAGCCUCGUUAGGGUUAAUUAACGUGGGCUGGCGCCGAGGAGCGUCUGGCAGGGAGGGACAGCGGGACACGGUGACAUCCAGCAGGGGCCGUGUGACCUGGUGCAGGAGAGCCACUGCUCAGAUCUCCUGCCAGCCCCAAUCCUGCCUGGAAGAGCCUUGAAAUCUGGCACAGGUGGCACAGUGCCACAGCUCCAAAAAGCACGGAUGGAGCCACAGCCAGGACCACCUAGGACAGCCCCUGGCAUGGCUCGUGGAGGGCACAGCCAGGUCCAGGUCUCCUCCACCUGGCUCAAACACUGAAAGUCUAAACUUUAAGUAAGAUGAAGAAAAUGAAUUGAGAUGGGAAUGCCACUUUUGAAAACAUUUGUAUUUGAUUUGCUCAUUUCAUGUGGCUUCAUUCAAAUUUCAACUUUGCCUAGAAACAGGAGAUUAAGUGAUUGCUCCAGCAGGGAUGCCCAGGCAGGGUACAGCGGGAAGCCUCAGCAUCUCCCGGCCCUGUUUCAGAACCACGAAGCCUCUGCAUGGCAGAAAACAGCCCCUCCUACAGCCAGUGCUUGGGAAUGGGUAGAAAAUGGCUUCAAGAAGGGACCCACCUUCUCCUAGCCCGGCUGGCAGGUGUUCUGGGUACAACCUGCAGCAGCAUCUCAGCUCAGUGCUGUGACACCAGUGCAGAGGCCACUGCCUGCUGGAGAAGACAAACGUGGUCAGCAGCCGAGGAGCUUCUCCUGCCAUCUGACAGGGCUGGCGGAACAGGGAAAGUCCAAACGCUCCCGGCAGCGUCAAAAUUAACUCUUGAUCACAUGAUGGAAAUGUGGUGUGGGACAAGGGGCUUCCAGUGGGGCGAACAGAAGUGGUGGGUGCCUUGGUCCCCCAAGGUUCUUCCCGACAGCUGCUGUCUGAGCCCCCCUGGGAAAAGAAAAAGCAAAUUUCACUGCAGAAACUGAGAAACGGCAAAACUUCAUGAUGGAGGUGUAAAGCUUUUUUUGGCUCUCAUUUCUGGGAGGACAGCGUGGGCUGAAGCUUCCCCUGCCCUCUUCACCCUCUCACCCGAGGGCUGGGAAAGCACCCGGUGCAACCUAGUGCUGGGUUCCCUCCAUGGCCACAUGCAAACCAAGGCCAAAGCAGGUGAUCCCACAGGUCAGCAGUGCCAGGAAUGUGCUGGGAGAGAGGCACAGCCUCUGCAGGAGCAGGAGCACCUCCACUAGAUCCAAGUGGUGGGGAUGAGAGAUGAGAAGGCCAGCCAGGCAUACACAGGGAAUGCCACGGGCUCAGCUGUUUCCCUUCCCCUUUCUCCCAACUACUAGAAUAAACUAAAUUCCCACCUGGCUCCAUCCCCUCCCUGGCAGAUAUUUAAAAACAGGGAGAGGAGUGCAAGGGUGACUGGUAGCAGGAAUGUCACUCCUCAGGGACCCCCGUGUUCCCAAGGGAACAUGCACAUCUUGCAGGGCUGGGCCCAGGGACCCCCCUUCCCUGUGUUCCAGAGUAGGACAAGCUCAUGUUGCAGGAAGAAGUGCUCAGCCCCAACAUCACACUGCUCUUCCCAAGCACAUGGGCUCCUGCUUGGAGGCUCAUGGGGAGAGGGCAGGAAGGGCUCCUGGGGUGAAUACCUCCUGUGAAAUCACGGUGUUUCCAGGCUGAGGGUUAGGGUUUGAACAAAGGCUUCUCUACCAGGCAAAUGGGAAGGUGAGCACAGAGAGGAGGAUCCUCUCGCAGUGCACCAGCUAAAGCAGUGAGUUACAACCUCUUUUUGACCUGUGCACACCAAAUUUUCCCCCAGCUACACUUCCUAUAAAAGUGUUUCAUCCCCCAUCCCCCUCCUCAUUUACAGAACAAAAAUGUUCCCUGGGCAGACAAUAAAAUCCCUGUUAAGAAAUUCCAGGUCCCUUCACACCUCUUGCUCUGUGUCCCAGAGCUGCAAGGAGAAGGAAGUGGCUGCCAUGUGAGGUUCAGGCUGAUGGAGAGAUGGGGGACCUGGCAUGUGGCUCCAGCCACAACCACCCUGGUCACCAGCUCUCCCCAGUGGUACAUUGCUUUUGCCCUCCAGCAAGUUGGAUUUUUCAGUGUUUUGCCACCGUAAGACUCCUCACUCCUGAAUCUUGGAAUUUUUCACCUUUCAGCUUCCAUGCCAACCCAUGCUCGGAUUCCACAGGCAGUGGUUUCGUUUGGUUUUCUCCCUGUGUCUUUGCCUUAGGGACAGGCCACAUACAGCUGAGGGUUGAGCUGAGCUUACCUGGGCAGCUGAAGGUUGGACUUGGCCCACCUUGGAGCACCCUGCAGCUGGCAGAGCACACUGCUGACAUCCAGUUUCCUAGGGUUGGGAAACUUUUUUUUAAGCAGAUUAGAAAACAAAAGCAUCUUUACUACGUGAUACCUUGGCCUUCAUGGAGUUCCCCUACAGAACAGGCCCCUGCUGCCCCCUGCCCUGGAGCUGGGCAGGGCCAUGGCUAGGCUGGCUUGUCCCUCUCCCCAGAGCCCAGAGUGGGCAGCGAGGAGGGUGUUUUGCCAUGAGGCUUCCCUGAUCCAUGCACACCGUCCAGAAAUGCCAGGACUGAGGGAGCUCAGUUUCACAGCUGCCCCACGUGCUGUGACUUCCAGAGGUCACGUCCCUACAAGCGUGUGCCUUCCCACAUCGCACCUCUCCUACCCCAGGUGCUCAACUGAGUUCCACAGCAGUCAUCACAUCCUUCUCCCUCUGCUCAGUGAAUCCUAAACCUUGCCCUGGCACAUGCCAGUCCAGCCUGGGCUCCUCAGACCCCAUCCCAAUUUCCUGGACUGCUCUGCCCAGCCUUGAGCAGCAUUACUGGGUUUCUCCAGCAGCCUUUGCACCUCCUCAUCUCAGCUCGUUGUCUGGGAGGGUACAAUUUCCCCCUUCUCUGGCUGCUCCUUCCCACUGUCUCCCUUCCCAUUGUCCCUGUUCUCCCUCGUAAGCUCCUAAGUCUUGCCCACCCUGUCCCCUGUGUCCCUCAGAUGCUGCCACAAGGGAAAAUGGCAACUCACCAGCAUUUAGGUCCUCUCUGUCCUGAGUAGGGGCCAAUCACCUGGGGAUGCAUCUAUGGGGUCUGCAGCAAAUUUCCAGCUUGCAUCCUGGGGCAGGAUCCUCUCCAUAGGGCUGGUUGUGCCCUGGGACGGGGAGCUUGGAUACUGAUACCAGUGACAUUCCCACGGGGAGCUUCUAGUGCUCCCAUAAUGUCCAGCCUUGAGAUAAAAGACCCGUGUGGAUCAUGGCUGCACCACCAGCACUGCAGCACAUGGACAGACAGUGGGGCCUCCACUGAGCCUGCAGGGGACUCACCUGAGCUUGCAAGAAGGUUUCCUGGGUGGUGGAAGAUGCUGUGGAGGACAGGAGGGCUCAGGGGGCUGGGUGGUGAGGCCGUGAGCAGGAGCUGUGCCGGAGGGGCCCAGGAGCAUCCCUCGGUGUCACGGGCUGCCCACAGCAAGGACAUCGCUGCACAGGGGAUGCACCUCCUGGCUCACACACUGCUGGUGGCCCAGGAUUCCCUGGGACCAGAACACAGACCUGAUCCAGGGAAUCUGACCUGCACACAAGGAAAGAAGAGGCCUGGGAGAGCUGGAGCAGCACUGGACUGCCUGUGUCCAGGCACACCCCUGCAGGGUACCCCGGGGCAACCAGCCCCGUCUGCGCCAGUAUCCCACCAUGGAGCUCAGCUCAGCUGCAAGGCACUGGGCUGGUAUCAUCCCACUUUGUGCUGGGGACUGAAUCCAAAAAAUCCUUAAAUAGGUGAUUGCAGGAGAGCAGACACAGCCUGUAUCAUGGAGCCAUUUAAGGCAGAAGACAGUCUCUGGACAUGGAAAAACUCAGCAGCUGGCAUUGUGCCAACCUCCCCCCCCCCCCCCC